UACGUAGGGUGCGAGCGUUGUCCGGAAUUAUUGGGCGUAAAGAGCUUGUAGGCGGUUUGUCGCGUCUGCUGUGAAAAUCCGGGGCUCAACCCCGGACUUGCAGUGGGUACGGGCAGGCUGGAGUUCGGUAGGGGAGACUGGAAUUCCUGGUGUAGCGGUGAAAUGCGCAGAUAUCAGGAGGAACACCGGUGGCGAAGGCGGGUCGCUGGGCCGAUACUGACGCUGAGGAGCGAAAGCGUGGGGAGCGAACAGG
rnacentral:rRNA from 1 species